UACGUAGGGGGCAAGCGUUAUCCGGAUUUACUGGGUGUAAAGGGAGCGUAGACGGUAAUGUAAGUCUGAUGUGAAAGCCCGGGGCUCAACCCCGGGACUGCAUUGGAAACUAUGUAACUAGAGUACCGGAGAGGUAAGCGGAAUUCCUAGUGUAGCGGUGAAAUGCGUAGAUAUUAGGAGGAACACCAGUGGCGAAGGCGGCUUACUGGACGGAAACUGACGUUGAGGCUCGAAAGCGUGGGGAGCAA
rnacentral:rRNA from 1 species